AUUUUAAACAGCGGUUGACAUGCUUCGAAGUACGGUAAUGGAAUAUUUAGAAAUCUUUUGUCACGAAUUGAGCCAUGCUCGCGACCCUGAUUUACCAUUUCGGAUAGUGUCUUGGAACGCACGAACAAAACGCCGCAAUUUGGAUGUAACGAUGGAUUAUUUUGGACCAAACCAACAUUUGUUAUUGAAGUAGCAGUCCUGGGAGUGCAUUCUGACGAAGACAACAAAGAUGCAACCUUCCAAGUGUCUCCCAAAUGCAACAAUUCAACAUUGGACCAAAUUGUCUGAAGGAUUAAGAUUUUCUCUGUCAGGUCUGGAAUUCAACUGGCAACCCUCCGGAAAAUUACCAGUCCACCUCUUUAACCUUGAGGUUACUACCGCUCCCAAGUCAUUAUUUCCUACUGCAAAAAGCUAGAGCCAAUGGUCAAGAUGGGUGAAAAUGUGGCUGCAUCAACUUUCCAAAGGAAAGAGAAGAUACAAGACUACCCAGGAUGCUCUCUUAGCUAGGUUACUGGAGGAGUUUAUUUCACCCUGCCGUCUGCAAUGGAGGUCAAUCAACUGAUUUCUCUGCCAAUUGAAAAAGCAAGAGGACAUCAAUAACGUGCUCACAUUUUGUUACAUCUCCGUUGACGGAUUCAGGCCAUGAUUUUCAUUUAGUCCAAAAAAGAGAGAGAACCAAACUGUCAGCUAUGUUGUAGUUCCCACUUUUAAUCUCCGCCUGCAGUCAAUAAUCAGCCUGAAACCCCAAAAAAACCUUUGUCAGUUGGUAAUCUUGUAUUGAAGACAUUUGGAUGCUGCCUGCUGAAAUUGUAUUCUGCAUUAGGCUAUGGUAAUCCAGAC
rnacentral:lncRNA from 1 species